AGAGUUUGAUCAUGGCUCAGGAUGAACGCUAGCGGCAGGCUUAACACAUGCAAGUCGAGGGGUAUGGUUCUUCGGAACCAGAGACCGGCGCACGGGUGCGUAACGCGUAUGCAAUCUACCUUUCACAGAGGGAUAGCCCAGAGAAAUUUGGAUUAAUACCUCAUAGUAUAACAUGACCGCAUGGUCGAGUUAUUAAAGUCACAACGGUGAAAGAUGAGCAUGCGUCCCAUUAGCUUGUUGGUAAGGUAACGGCUUACCAAGGCUACGAUGGGUAGGGGUCCUGAGAGGGAGAUCCCCCACACUGGUACUGAGACACGGACCAGACUCCUACGGGAGGCAGCAGUGAGGAAUAUUGGACAAUGGGCGCAAGCCUGAUCCAGCCAUGCCGCGUGCAGGAUGACGGUCCUAUGGAUUGUAAACUGCUUUUGCACAGGAAGAAACAACAUUACGUGUAAUGUCUUGACGGUACUGUGAGAAUAAGGAUCGGCUAACUCCGUGCCAGCAGCCGCGGUAAUACGGAGGAUCCAAGCGUUAUCCGGAAUCAUUGGGUUUAAAGGGUCCGUAGGCGGUCUUAUAAGUCAGUGGUGAAAUCUCCCCGCUCAACGGGGAAACGGCCAUUGAUACUGUAGGACUUGAAUUAUUAGGAAGUAACUAGAAUAUGUAGUGUAGCGGUGAAAUGCUUAGAGAUUACAUGGAAUACCAAUUGCGAAGGCAGGUUACUACUAAUGGAUUGACGCUGAUGGACGAAAGCGUGGGUAGCGAACAGGAUUAGAUACCCUGGUAGUCCACGCCGUAAACGAUGGAUACUAGCUGUUGGGAGCAAUCCCAGU
rnacentral:rRNA from 1 species